rnacentral:rRNA from 1 species
UACAGAGGGGGCAAGCGUUAUUCGGAAUUAUUGGGCGUAAAGGGCUCGUAGGCGGCCUGGCAAGUGGAAGGUGAAAUCCCUCGGCUUAACCGAGGAACUGCCUCCCAAACUGCUUGGCUUGAGACCGGGAGAGGUGAGUGGAAUUCCCAGUGUAGCGGUGAAAUGCGUAGAUAUUGGGUGGAACACCGGUGGCGAAAGCGGCUCUCUGGCCCGGAUCUGACGCUGAGGCGCGAAAGCGUGGGGAGCAAACAGG